rnacentral:rRNA from 1 species
UACGGAGGGAGCUAGCGUUAUUCGGAAUUACUGGGCGUAAAGCGUACGUAGGCGGCUUUGUAAGUAAGAGGUGAAAGCCCGGAGCUCAACUCCGGAACUGCCUUUUAGACUGCAUCGCUUGAAUCCAGGAGAGGUGAGUGGAAUUCCGAGUGUAGAGGUGAAAUUCGUAGAUAUUCGGAAGAACACCGGUGGCGAAGGCGGCUCUCUGGCUCGAUUCUGACGCUGAGGCGCGAAAGCGUGGGGAGCAAACAGG